rnacentral:ncRNA from 1 species
CAUCGUGAGGUGAAAUCUGAAGGAAGCCGGCGGCAAACAUCUGACCUAACGGACAGAAACUUCAUAUAAGGCAUAUGACCGUGGAUGAGAUUGCUAAACAAAUCAAAGUCCCAUAGCUAUUCGGAACGGUUGGUGGA